rnacentral:rRNA from 1 species
AGUGAACGCUGGCGGUAGGCCUAACACAUGCAAGUCGAACGGCAGCACAGUAAGAGCUUGCUCUUACGGGUGGCGCGUGGCGGACGGGUGAGGAAUACCUCGGAAUCUACUUUUUCGUGGGGGAUAACGUAGGGAAACUUACGCUAAUACCGCAUACGACCUACGGGUGAAAGCAGGGGAUCUUCGGACCUUGCGCGAUUGAAUGAGCCGAUGUCGGAUUAGCUAGUUGGCGGGGUAAAGGCCCACCAAGGCGACGAUCCGUAGCUGGUCUGAGAGGAUGAUCAGCCACACUGGAACUGAGACACGGUCCAGACUCCUACGGGAGGCGGCAGUGGGGAAUAUUGGACAAAGGGCGCAAGCCUGAUCCAGCCAUACCGCGGGGGUGAAGAAGGCCUUCGGGUUGUAAAGCCCUUUUGUUGAGAAAGAAAAGCAGCAGGUUAAUACCCCGCUGUUCUGACGGUACCCAAAGAAUAAGCACCGGCUAACUUCGUG